CAUUCAUUUAUUUUUUAAAAGAAACAUAGGAAAGGUAAACUAGCAACUAAUGAAAAUAAUUACCUAUAAGAGAUCUUAAAUUUUAUUUUGUAUGUUUACCAUUAGUAAUACUGAUAUUGUAGUGCUGAAACAUAAGCUAUAAGUAAAGCAUAUAAGCAAUUAUAGGCUUCCCUGGUAGCUCAGCUGGUAAAGAAUCUGUCUGCAAUGCAGGGGACCCUGGUUCAAUUCCUGGGUUGAAAACUCCCCUGGUGAAGGGAAUGGCUACCCAUUCCAGUAUUCCUGCCUGGAGAAUCCCAUGAACAGAGGAACCCGGACGUCUAUAGUCCAUGGGGUCACAAAGAGUCGGACACAACUGAGUAACUAAGCACAGCAUACAGCACAAGGAAAUACAUUUUUACUCAAAACCAUUAUUUGCACUGCAAGAGAAAAGAGAGGAAAAUAUAAAAUAAUAAAAAAGCCUGUAAUGCUUAAUUUUAAUUGUAAACAUCAAUUUGAAUUUAUGAAUUCUUAAAAGUGUUAUUUCCUAGCUAUGCCCACUGAAAUAUGGCCCAGAAGCAAAUGGGAGUUAAAAUUUUAUUUCCCCCGAAAAGGAAUAGAUAUUCCCCAGGUUGGGAACAUGACGAGUAUGAGGCACGUCUGGGACAUGUUAUACCUGAAGAAAGGAAGAAUUCAAAGACUAAUGCGGUCAAGUCUAAAAGAUACAGAAGCUAGUUUACAGUGACUUACACUGGCUACUGGCUCACAAUAGGAACAUCAAAAAGAACUAUGAUGUAACUGACUAUAAUACAUUGAAGAACAAAAACAUUGAUUCUUGAAAAAGAGAGAGGACUUUGGGAAAAAGGAAGGAGGGAAAAUAGUCUUUUUAAAAUAGAGAACAAACUAAUAAAUGUAAAAGAAAAUUAGAGAACUAAAAAUUUUAAACCAUCAUUUUGCACCUCAAUGUGAUAAACGAUUCAAUUAAGAUCAUCAGUUGAUGCUAGAGACAUUAAAUAAAAGGCUGUUAGAAAAAAGAACAUUCUCAUGGUGCCAAAAUAUUACCAUAAAGAAUACUAUUACUAAAGGGAGAAAAAUGACCUUUACAAUGGAAAGAUCUGUUAAUCAUAAUCUUAACUGAACAAUUAUCAUCAAUAAUGAGACAAUCCAGAAUUGCGUGUCUUCUGAUAUGAUACAAUAUAAAACCUAUAAGAUAAUCCAUGAAAUGCUCUUUCAAAAAACAUUUAACCUGAAUUUAAUCAAACCUAUAGACUUCCAGUUCAAAGGAAAUGCAAAUAAAGAAAACAAAUCAAGUAUAUAGACAGAUGAAGGAUAAUGUCAAGUAAUAGAUUAUUCAAAAAGUCACGACGGGAAAAAAAGCCAUCAGGGUAUGAGGAAGUCUCUUCCAGGCUAAAAGAGACAAUCAAAUAGAAAGUAUGAACCUUAAUUGAAUAGAUCACAAGAAAAACCCUAUAAAAGUUCAUUUUUGAGACAAUUGGAAAUAUCUGAGUAUGAAUAUAGAUGGUACAAUCAAUUUAAUAUUUCUUAAGUGUGACAAUGGGAUUGAAUUUAAUUAGAAAAAAUGUCCUUAUUUUAGGAGUAAAGUGUCCUGAUAAUGCUAGUAUGCAAAAUGUUAAUAAUUGUUGAGUUCAGGUGGAAGGCAAAUGGGCAUACAUGAUUUCAACUUUUAUAUACUCAAACAUUAUUUUUUAAUGAGAAGUGGAGGAAAAUUUCAGAGAAGGCAAUGGCACCCCAUUCCAGUACUCUUGCCUGGCAAAUUCCAUGGACGGAAGAGCCUGGUAGGCUGCAGUCCACGGGCUCGCUAGGAGUGGGCUCACUAGGAGUCGGACACGACUGAGCGACUUCACUUUCACUUUCACGCGUUGGAGAAGGAAAUGGCAACCCACUCCAGUGUUCUUGCCUGGAGAAACCCAGGGACAGGGGAGCCUGAUGGGCUUCCGUCUAUGGGGUCGCAUAGAGUCGGCCACUACUGAAUCGACUUAGCAGCAGCAGCAGAAUGAAAAUUUAAAUAGGAAAAAAAAAAGGUCUUUAACAAUGCUUACUUUGUGAGUGCCUAAAGAUAACCCAGGGCUUCACUGGUGGCUCAGAUGGUAAAGAAUUUGCCUGCAAUGCAGGAUACCGGGGUUCAAAACCUAGUGGAGGUGAUGGAAUUCCAGUUGAGCUAUUUAAAAUCCUAAAACAUGAUGCUGUGAAAGUGCUGCACUCAGUAUGUCAGCAAAUUUAGAAAAUAGCAGUGACCACAGGACUGGAAAAGGUCAGUUUUCAUGCCAAUCCCAAAGAAACACAAUGCCAAAGAAUGCUCAACUACCGUUCUUUGCACUCAUUUCACAUGCUAAAAGGUUAUACUCAAAAUCCUUCAAGUUAGGAUUCAGCAGUAUAUGAAGUAAGAACUUUCAGAUGUACAAGUUAGCUUUAGAAAAGGCAGAGAAACGAGAUAUCAAAUUGCCAACAUCCACUGGAUCAGAGAAAGCAAGGAAAUUCCACAAAAACUUCUGCUUCACUGACUAGUGACAGCCUGAAAGCCUUUGACUGUGGAUCACAACAAAUUGCGGAAAAUUCCUAAAGAGAUGGGAAUACCAGACCACCUUAUCUGCCUCCUGAGAAGCCUGUAUGCUAGUUAAGAAGCAACAGUUAGAACCUUAUAUGGAACAACAGACUGGUUCAAAAUUGGGAAAGGAGUAAGACAAGGCUGUAUAUUGUCACCCUACUUAUUUAACUUAUAUGCAGAGUACAUCGUGCGAAAUGCUGUGCUGGGUGAAUCACAAACUGGAAUCAAGAUUGCCCAGAGAAAUAUCAACAACCUCAAAUAUGCAGUUGAUACCACUCUAAUGACAGAGGGGCUUCCCUGGUUAGAGUCUGCCUGGAACGCGGGAGACCCGGGUUUGAUCCUUGGGUCGGGAAGAUUCCCCUGGGGAAGGAAAUGGCAACCCACUCCAGUACUCUUGCCUGGAGAAUCCCAUGGACGGAGGAGCCUGGUAGGCUACAGUCCAUGGGGUCGCAAAGAGUCGGUCACGACUGAGCAACUUCACUUCACUUUAACGACAGAAAGCAAAGAGAAACUAAAGAGCCUCUUGAUGAAAGUGAAAGAGGAGAGUGAAAAAGCUGUAUUAAAACUCAACAUUCAAAAAACUAAGAUCAUGGCAUCUGGUCCCAUCACUUCAUGGCAAAUAAAAGGUGAAAAGUGGAAGCAGUGACAGAUUUUACUUUCUUGGGCUCCAAAAUCACUGUGGCUGGUGAUGCAGCCAUGAAAUUAAAAUUUGCUUGCUCUUUUGAAGAAAAGCUAUGACAAACCUAGACAGCAUAUUAAAAAGCAGAGACAUCACUUUUCUGACAAAAGCCUGUAUAGUCAAAGCUAUGGUUUUUCCAGUAGUCAUGUAUGGAUGUGAGAGUUGGACCAUAAAGAAGGCUGAGUGCCAAAGAAUUGAUGCUUUUGAACUGUGGUGCUAGAGAAGACUCUUGAGAGUCCCUUGGACAGAAAGGAGAUCAAACUAGUCAAUUCUAAAGGAAAUCAACCAUGAAUAUUCACUGGAAGGACUGAUGCUGAAACUUCUAUACUUUGGCCACCUGAUGCCAAGAGCCAACUCAUUGGAAAAGACCCUGAUGCUGGGAAAAAUGAAGUCACUGUCAUGUCUGACUCUUUGUGACCCAAUACUGGGAAAGAUUGAAGGCAAAAGAAGAGAGUGGCAGAGGAUGAGAUGGUUAGAUAGCAUCAGCAUCACUGACUCAAUGGACAUGAAUUUGAGCAAACUCCAGGAGAUGGUGAAGGACAGGGAAGCCUGGUGCACUGUAGUCCACCAGGCUGCAGAGUUGGACAUGACUUAGUAGUGACUGAUGAACAACAAAAAGGUAAUGGAUACAAAGUAAUGGAAAUUUGGGGCAUUGUGUGUGUGUAUAUAUAUAUUUAUAUAUAUAUAUAUAUAGAGAGAGAGAGAGAGAGAGAGAGAGUGUUGUUGUUUAGUCAGUAAGUUAUGUCCAACUCUUUUGCGACCCCAUGGACUGCAGCCUACUAGGCUCUUCUGUCCAUGGGAUUCUUCAGGCAAGUAUACUGGAGUGGGUUGCCAUUUCUCUCUCCAGGAGAUUUUCCCAACCCAGGGAUCGGACCUGCUUCUCCUGCACUGACAGGCAGAUUCUUAGGGAAGACUAUAAAACAUCCAAAGCAAGCUUGAGACUUAAAAUUUUAGAAUUCAUAGCAGUAUUUUAAAAGUCAUAAAAUGAAGCAUAAACUCACUUGAUUUUCUGUAAUCCUAUCAUCACCCAAGAAACAUUACUGUUGUUAUAAUAUUUAAAAUGUAUUGAAGCACCUUGCAUAUAUUAGAAAAAAGCGCUUAGUGUAAUUUUUAAUGGCUGUAUUUACUAUCCAAGCAGAAUAAAGUAAAAUGAAACAUAAUAAAACUUCAGCCUAAGGAGAAAACUUAAAUCCCCAAUUAUUAGAAAUUGUGUUCUUUUAUAUACAAUGUCUUUUAAGAAACAGCAAACACAUAAACCCACAUCCACAGAUUUUGUUUAAAAUACAUAAGUAAAGUCUGAUUUAACACAUUUAAUUAAACCUUUUAAUACUCUAUGUUUAAAAUACAUCUUAACAAGAGUGCAUUUUCAGAUUACCCCAAAACACUGUAACAGCAUUCAUUAUUCUUUUAAAUCCUUAGUGAGUUUAAUUUUUAAAAAAAGAUGAAAGUGUAUAUCUCAGGUAAACUAUUUUCAAAGGAAUAUCAUUACUGUUCAUUUUAAAGAAGUUAUAUUAACAUAUCAGAGACCCUAAAUAAGUAAACAGAAAUAAAUGCAAAAAUGAAAAAACCUGGUUAGAUCUAAUGAGGUUUGAUACUUAACACCAGUAAAGGAUGACUGGAAAUGUGGAGCUAUCAGUUAACAGUGAAGGUCUAUUAUGAGCCAUCCUAGCAAUUGAUACCAAUUUUAUUCUAUGAACUCCUCCUCAGAGUAGUGAUGCCUAAUGGUAAUUUAAAAUUAGCUCAGGAAACACCCUUCUAGUUGCUAGAUGGGAUGCUGUUCAAUUCAAUUGCCAAAAAAGCCAAUUAGAUCUUAAAAAUAAAUAUAUAAAUAAAAUUAGCUCAAAACUGUACAUAAAUAUACAGCAUAGGUUAAAAUUUACAAAUUUUAAAAUUUGUCUUUUAAUUAUCCCAACAUUUAAUAAAAUUGUCAUUAAACAUCAGAACUGAAAACUAAAUAAAAAAUACAAGUGCUACUUAGUACUGUAUCUGAUUGUUUUUCUACCCUUUAGUCGUAUGUUCAGAAGCAUCUGACAAAAUUUCUGAAAUUAAAAAUGACAAUGUGUGUAAGUCUUUAUGGGCUUCGCUGGUGGAGCUCAUGGUAAAGAACCCACCUACCACUGCAGAUGUAAGAGACACAGGUUCGAUCGCUAGGUUGGGAGGAAUGCUUGGAGGAGGGCAUGGCAACCCACUCCAGUAUUCUUGCCUGGAGAAUCUCACGAACAGAGGAGCCUGGUAAGCUACAGUCCACAGGGUUGCAAGAGUCGGACAUGACUGAAGAGACUUAGCAUGCAGCAUGCACAAUCUCUAUAAACAAUUGUCAUUGCUUGUGUCAUUCUCAUCAAUUCAGAAAAAUGUAUAUUAGUGAUGAAUGGUAAGGAAUCUGGUCUUACCCCAAAAAAGUUCUGGCCUACAUCCUCAGGAGGUCCCAGUAGGAGAAGUGUCUUUAUUAUUCAUGUUGGGCUCCUCAAAUUACAUAAGCUAAUUUAUGCUAACAUGAGACUCUGGUAUCUGAGGUCUGCUAGUUCUCCAGGGAGGAUCAGGGCUGGAGAGUGAGUUCAACUAUGUGAUCAAAGAAUCAAUCAAGCAUGCCAAAUAAUAAAACUUUGGUAAAAAUAUGAAAACCAAAGCAUGGGUGAAUUUUCCCAGUUGGCAGUACUCUGCAUGGAGUAUCACAGAUUUUAGCUUGGAGUAUAUAUACAACAUUGUCCAAGGCUUCACCAGGAAUGGACAACUGGAAAGGAUGACUAGAAUUUAGACCCCUCCUUAUCUCUGACCAGUGUUCUCUUCCUUUGUCUGGUUCUAAUUUGUAUCCUUUCUCUGGAAUAACUAUGAUUGUGAAUAUAAUAGCUUUCAGUGAGUUCUGUCUUUCCAG
ensembl:lncRNA